rnacentral:rRNA from 1 species
CGGAUCGCAGGCUGCAACCCGCCUGCGUGAAGUCGGAAUCGCUAGUAAUCGCGGAUCAGCAUGCCGCGGUGAAUACGUUCCCGGGCCUUGUACACACCGCCCGUCACACCAUGAGAGUCGGGAACACCCGAAGCCUGUGAGCUAACUUUUAGAGGCAGCAGUCGAAGGUAGAAUCAAUGAUUGGGGUGAAGUCGUAACAAGGUAAC